rnacentral:tRNA from 1 species
GCCGAAUUAGCUCAGUUGGUAGAGCAGCGCACUUGUAAUGCGAAGGUCGUAGACUCGGAUUCUACAUUCGGCA